AGUGAAGCAGAGAGGAGGGCCGGGACCAACAGGGCGCCUGCCCUGGUCGCCCCAUACCCAGAAUGCGGCCAGGCUGCAGGGAAGGCCGCCACUGGGCUUCCCCGGCUCACAGGCUGGAGGGGGUUGAGGGGAGGUUGUAUUUUGCCAGUCCCAGAGGGGAGGGACCGGAUUUGGCCUGGAGUGCUUCUGGCGUGGCUGGGAGCCGAGGGGCUUCCGGCUGCCUCUCCUGGAGCCCGCUCAGCCCUCAGUCUCUGUCCCAGCGAGGGCUGUCUCUGUAAGGGUUAGGGUGGGAGACGGUCCCCAGGGCCCUUCUGCAGUCCAACUGCCCAUGACUUUACCCCAGGCCGGGCCAGGCCAGCCUGGGGCUCUCCAGGGUCUCGGCCAACAGUCCUGUGGACAGCCCGGAAAGGCCUGCCUGCCUGGCCCGCCCAGCCUCUCAGCGGAAAACAAAGGCGCUUCAGACCCGGCUGGCUUCUGUCCUGCCUGGGAGGCACUGUGAGGGCGAGGGUCCAGAAUCCUGCCCACCCUCACACCAGGCUGCCCCCACAGCUCAUACCUGAGUAGAACCCAGGCUGGGAUGUCGGAGCACAUUGAGGAGGCCACCCCAGAGCCCGUGCAGCCACGGUGGGCAGCUGGUUUUCUUCUGAGCCAUUAGACCCAAUCGAUUCUGUAUUCCCAACUCGGACCCGUAAUGUGUGGCCAUUGACCCACCCAGUGGGUCUGAGGGCCAGUUCCCUGCCCCCACUUGGCCCACGUCCCAGAGCUGGCCAGAGCACAGUGCUGGCAGCCCUGAGCUGCAGCUGCCACGGCCGAUAGCCACCGAGACUUCCUUGCUGCUGCUGGGACACGCCUGCCCACCGUGCAGCCAGCCCCUGCCUGCCCUGCCGAGAAGGUGAGCUCCCUGGGGAAGGACUGGCACAAGUUCUGCCUCAAGUGCGAGCGCUGCAGCAAGACGCUGACGCCCGGGGGCCACGCCGAGCAUGACGGGAAGCCGUUCUGCCACAAGCCGUGCUACGCCACCCUGUUCGGACCCAAAGGCGUGAACAUCGGGGGCGCGGGCUCCUACAUCUACGAGAAGCCCCUGGCGGAGGGGCCGCAGGUCACCGGCCCCAUCGAGGUCCCCGCGGCCCGAGCAGAGGAGCGGAAGGCGAGCGGCCCCCCGAAGGGGCCCAGCAGAGCCUCCAGUGUCACCACUUUCACCGGGGAGCCCAACACGUGCCCGCGCUGCAGCAAGAAGGUGUACUUCGGUGAGUGCGCGCCCGGGCCCCGGACCCCCGCCCCCGCCCCUGCCCCGGGGCUCGGCCUCACUCCUCCCCCUUUCCAGCUGAGAAGGUGACGUCUCUGGGCAAGGAUUGGCACCGGCCCUGCCUGCGCUGCGAGCGCUGCGGGAAGACACUGACCCCCGGCGGGCACGCGGAGCACGACGGCCAGCCCUACUGCCACAAGCCCUGCUAUGGAAUCCUCUUCGGACCCAAGGGAGUGAACACCGGCGCGGUGGGCAGCUACAUCUAUGACCGGGACCCCGAAGGCAAGGUCCAGCCCUAGGCUACAGCGGCUCUCGUGAUGUGGGCUCACCUGCGCCCCAGACCCUGCAGGGGCUCCCCUGCUUGGCUCUGCUGGGAGAGUGCUCAGCCGCCUAGUCCUGCCUGCAAGCCCAGGGCGAGUAUUGGAGGAGGGGCAGCCACGGGCAGAGCGCCAUGCCCAUCCCCGAGUCUCUGGUGUGUCUGCCCCCUCUGGCAUCCUCUGGGCGUCCCAUGAUCCCUUCUGUGUCUGCGUGUCCGAAUCCCCGUGUGACCCUGUCCCAGCAUUUUCCCGCCGACCCUGCGUGUCCCCGUGGCGCUGUCCGCUCUCCCUCUCCUGCUGCCCACCCACCUGCCAGUGUUAUUUAUGCUCCCUUCGUGGGUGAUGGCCACGCCCUCACCAUGUCCCUGGCAGAGGGCUUUCCUCCGGGAUCCCCUGCCUGGUGCCCACACUGCCUCGCAAGCGCUCGCCACCCUCACGUGGCUCACCUGCUGUUGAGCCUUGUGCUGUCAAUAAACGGUUUGAGGAUUGC
rnacentral:sRNA from 1 species